UACGGAGGAUGCGAGCGUUAUCCGGAUUUAUUGGGUCUAAAGGGUGCGUAGGCGGACGCUUAAGUCAGCGGUAAAAUUGCGGGGCUCAACCUCGUCGAGCCGUUGAAACUGGGUGCCUUGAGUGGGCGAGAAGUACGCGGAAUGCGUGGUGUAGCGGUGAAAUGCAUAGAUAUCACGCAGAACUCCGAUUGCGAAGGCAGCGUACCGGCGCCCUACUGACGCUGAAGCACGAAGGCGUGGGUAUCGAACAGG
rnacentral:rRNA from 1 species